rnacentral:lncRNA from 1 species
UUAAUUCACAGGAAGAAACUUGCCCGAAGGUUGCUAUUUGAUAAAAGUGCUAAUGAUGACCAUGAGCGUAGUAUUUUGACAAAGCUAAAGCAGCAGUGCGGAGGGCAAUUUACCUCAAAAAUGGAGGGCAUGGUAUGCUUACAAAUUUUAUUAUUUUCUUCCUAUUUGAAGGUUUUUUACAGUUUCCUUUCUUCUCAGGUAACUGAUUUAACUCUUGCAAGAGAAAACCAAUCAAGCUUCGAAGAAUAUCUAAAUAGCAAUCCUCUGGCAAAUCCUGGAAUUGACCUUACAGUGACUGUUUUAACGACUGGGUUUUGGCCUAGUUAUAAAUCCUUUGAUCUUAAUCUCCCUGCUGAGAUGGUACAGACUUGGUCCUUGUUACUUCUUUUAGUUUCUAGUUAUGGAAUUGAAGCGUGCUUUAAUUAGGCUUUGCUAUUUUUCAUUUACAUGUUAUAUAUAGGUUAAAUGUGUCGAAGUUUUUAAGGAGUUCUAUCAGACAAAAACCAAGCAUCGGAAGCUUACAUGGAUAUAUUCAUUGGGUACCUGUAAUAUCAAUGGCAAGUUUGAACCUAAAACAAUAGAGCUGAUUGUAACAACCUAUCAGGUUUUCAUCAGAAUUUUUUCCUCUUAAAUUAUUUAAAAUUGGUUGUUCCUACAUUCUUGAAUCAUAAUUAUUUUUUCCCGUCCUACAGGCUGCUGCUCUGCUACUUUUUAAUGCUUCCGACCGAUUAAGUUACUCAGAGAUCAUGUCACAGUUGAAUUUGUCAGAUGAUGACGUCAUCAGAUUGCUCCACUCUCUUUCAUGUGCAAAAUACAAGAUCCUCAACAAAGAGCCUAAUACAAAAAAUAUAUCUCCCACUGAUUAUUUCGAGUUCAAUUCCAAGUUCACAGAUAAAAUGAGGAGGAUCAAGGUAAAGUUUUGCUGUUAACGCUGUGUUCUUGCACCUGUUCUCCUUGAUUGAGUUUUUGAGGUUAUGGCUAUACGCAUACUGCAGAUUCCUCUUCCUCCCGUGGAUGAGAAAAAGAAAGUUAUUGAAGAUGUUGACAAAGACAGAAGAUAUGCAAUUGAUGCUUCAAUAGUGCGCAUAAUGAAGAGUAGAAAGGUUUUAGGUCAUCAGCAACUUGUGAUGGAAUGCGUUGAGCAGCUCAGCCGCAUGUUUAAGGUACCAAGCUCCUCAUUACAAUUGUUUAUUUCUCUUUUGAAGCCAAGAGAUAGUGCAAAUGUGUUUAGACAAUCAUCUCUUUAAAUCGUUAUCACUUUCUUUGACGUGAUUUGAUUAGUCGAUCAAGUUAUAAGUAUCAAAAAACACUUUGUGACGAUAUGGAGGAUGCCAAAUAUGGUACCUAUUAGUAAUCUAGUUGCUAGGUUUAGUCACUGAGAAAAUUGUCCUACGAAUAAUAAAUUGCUGUUUUCUUUGUGCAGCCUGACUUCAAGGCAAUAAAGAAGAGGAUCGAAGACUUGAUCUCUAGAGACUAUUUAGAGAGGGACAAGGACAAUCCGAACACGUUCAGAUACUUAGCCUGAUUAAUAUUUGGAGAAUGUUCUUUAAUCAUCUCUCUACAAAGCCGCCAACAAUAACGCAGAAGCACCCGUUCUGGUGGUAAACUCAUCACUUAAAAUUUCUCGUGCUGCUUGAGAGAUUGAUAUACUUUACAUCGACCCAUGAGCCUUGUUGUACAUUUCCCUCAAACCGAUGUAUGUUUUAUUGCCUAUAAGAAUGUAUGGGUGAAAGCUUCUACAGUCGGAAAUGCUCAGAAUCACUUUUCUUACUGUUGUAAAUCGUCAUUACACUGGCAUACUUCAUUGUUUUUUCUUAACUAGCGUCUUCUACAUCUAUUAAGUCUUCUCUGCUGUAUUUUGUCUAGGUUGGAAAUCUGCUUGUUGCUCUAUAUUUUACUCGACUAGUUACGUAAGUAACUCUUCUCGCACAAUUAUUAUCAAUGUUAUUAUAUAUGCGACUGCAUUUAAUUCCAUUUCUGCUGUUGCUUGGAAUAACUUUCAAUUAUGUACAGCGUUUUACCACCAGAUGGUAUUAUUAUUCUCCUCUAUUAGUGGCUUCUGUUUAGUUUCUUUUGCAGGUUUGAGUUACACCUUGCCCAGUUAAUUGGGCUGAUCCUGGAUUCAAAAUUACAGGUUCAUGAUAAAAUUCUGACUCAAACCCAGUUUUUUUUUUUUUUUUUUUUUUUUUUUUCUCUGGUUGAAGCUUCUAUGUCCGAGGUUUUCAUUUGAUCUGAUCCAACUUGGCCGUCAGUAGCUGUAGGAAUUUGCUUGCCCUGAUGUUUGCGGCGAUUCAUCAAAGAAAGCUUCCACAUUAUCUCCAUUGAGCAAGUCUCUGUGACUCUUCUUCUCUUCUUUUGUUUAUUUUUUCUUAUCUGGGACUGUCACAUAGGAUUAGUUACAGUAAAGAUUCUCUGCACCCUUGAAACAAGAAGUUGCUUAAGUAGGUGCUGCUGGUGCAGAAAACAAACAGUGUUUUGCACCACACUUGUUAGCAGAUUCUUACGCCCACCGCACUCCGGGCUACAAGACAAGCUCCAUGAUUGAUGUGGCCCUGCUUCUCUUCCAAUCGCCAUUAUUCGUUCAUCUGAGUUUCUAUAUUAUUUAGGCCAUUUGCUACCCAUUACCUACUAUAUGGUGCCACUGCCAAUAAUUGUGGGUAUCUUUCGCUGCAAACUACAGGAAAAGUGUCUUUAGAUCCUGUUUACCUGCUCUUCUGCUUUUGUUAUGAACUCUAGUGACCUCUAGUUAUUUGUGAGCGUAAAGAAAAAAAAAAAAAAGAAAAAAGCUGGGAGCUUCUACUGCUGUGAGAAUCUUAAAUGAAUUGUGGACAAGCUAUUGUAGAAAUUUUAGUGAAAGUGCUUUUAGAAGCAAUAUAAAUACUACUGCUUCGACCAGCUCUGUCCGGUGCAGUAGGGCCAAACAGGCCCCAUGGAUUGUCCGUCGGGGAUUUCCGAGAAAAUACUGCUCGAGUAUUAGAUGUUUGAAAGGAUACUGAUUGCUCUUUUAUUAAAAGCGCUUUAAUAGCGUCUCUCUCUCUCUGUAGUCCGCGAGUCGUAUUUUGUUUGUUUUUAACAUCUAAAAGCUUAGCUUUUAUUUUUUGUUGCGGGAAAAGCUUGCUCUGGGCAUUUUGUUUAUCGAGUGCGUGUAGCUUUUUGAAUCACGUAGGGGCGUUUCAAGAGCCAUGCCAAACAGGCCCUUAGAUGAGCUUGAUACCAUCCACUACAGCUUUUUUAUGUUAAAAAAAAAAAAAAUUGAACCCAAUUGCUAACAGAGAAUCACUUAAAUGUCCAGUUACCACCAUUAUAUCUAUUCAAUCUCCACACACUAUAUAAAUACGUCACACGUGCCCCACCCCACCACAGUAUACACGCACAUAAUUAAGAUUUUAGCAGGUGUAUGGUAUAUACUUUGUACAUUGGCUACUUCAAAGACCGCUAAUUUAUGAAAUUAUUAUAGCAAAACAUAAACAAUUGGAUCGUUAUUAUUAGUUAACCUGAAUCUUAGCAAACUCCAGAGUCUUCUUCCCCUGCAGAGCUUGUUGGGGACGUAGUGGCGGCUGUAGUCGCCGUGGUUGUACCUCUUGUACAUGCAGCGCUGGUCCCGGUGCACCAGCUCAGCGCGGGGGCCCACCUCCACGUCAUAGCUGGGCGGCGCAUAGAACGUGACCACGGAGAGCCUGUCCCUCUCUUCGUUGGUCACCGCCCUGUGCUCCACGCUCUUGUGCUUCCCAUUCGUCACCACCUGUUUUGUUUUGUUUUGUUAUUGUUUCGCUUUAUUCAGUAACAAAAUCAUGGGGGAUUUCCAUCUAAUUUUGAUUUUUGGUGUUAUUUACGCAAUGUUUGAUCUGGGCCAGUAAUAAUUAGUGAAUAUAAUAAUAGUUUGGUUUGACCAUUUCUGUAGCGAUCACAGUAAAAAAGAACAUUUAGUUUUAUCAUGUUUGACCACAGCAAGAGGUGUUCUGCUCAAAAAAUUCAUUUUAUUCUCCAACAAAACACUGCUUUAUAAGUAAAAAAUGGCUAAAGUUGAUUAUUUGCUAGAAUAUAUGUAUAUAUAUACGUACCUCAAUGGUGUCUCCAAUGUUGAUCACAAGUGCGUUGGGGAUAGGGUUUACCGGCACCCAGGCGCCGUCCUUGAGGAUCUACAGGCCGGCGCAGGUGGCGUCCUGCUGCAGCACGGUGAGUGCGCUGCCAUCCGAAUGCGAGCUCAGCCCCAGCACGAGGUCGGGCCGCGAGCACGGCGGGUAGUAGUUCAUCGUGCACUGCCUCCCCGAACAUGUCCCCGAAUGUGUUCGGCGCCAGUCCCAGCGUCUCCGCAAUCACGAUCAGCAGCCUCUCGCACAGGUUUCUUAUUCUCGCGGUGUACAUCUCUAGCGUCUCACUGCAGUGAAGAUGAGUUGAAAACGUUAUGGAUUGAGAUUCUUGUGAUUUUCGUUUAUCAUAAACGUUUGUUUCAACAUGUUUACGUGUUGCUGGUGUGGUAAUGAUAAAGUUAUUAUUUAUACGAAGAGAGCACCUAAAGUGAGUAGGGUUUGUAGGCCAGAGGCUAGAGUUUCUGAUGAAGGGAGGCGCCACCCCGAGAGCGAGCAUGUUGCACCAGUCGAGUUUCUGGUCCUCCGAGAAGAUGAAGGCGUGGCCGUAGCCCUGAAUCGUGCCCGGUGCCAUUGGAUACUUCUCCUUUUCUUCCAAAGGAAGCAUGAAGAACUCCCGCGCCACCUUCUCCAUGCCAUCCAUCAGCCACUUCUCCACACCAUGGUUCACGACAUAUAUAUAUAUAUAUAUAUAUAUAUAUAUAUAGAGUGAGGCUACUAUGCUAUCGGAAGCACGGAGCCUUCCGUGCUUCCAGCUCGUUUUCGAUGUUGCGACUUUCGAAUCGUCGAUCGGCUCCGUUAAACUUGAUCUAGAGUAUUUGGAGUACCUAGAAAAUAAAUUUUAUUAUUUUUCGAUAUCAUUUGCCUAGUGAUCGAAUGGGCUCAAAAUCAACAAAUUUCAAUGGCCGUAGUGAGCCGUUUGCAAGUUUAACGGUGUAGAAAUAUCAAAAUCACGUGAAAUUUUGAUAGAAAAUUCUUUAUACUAUAUAAAACAAGAUCAAUAUCUUUGAUUUAAAAUUUUAAUGUCAUAUUAUUACAUUUUGUAAGAUUUUUAUUUUCAGCCGUUGAUUUUGAACCCCUUCGUUCACUAGGCAAAUGAUAUCGUAAAAUCAUAAAAUUUAUUUUCUAGAUACUUCAAAUACUCUAGAUCAAGUUUAACGAAACCGAUCGACGAUUCGAAAGUCGUAACAUCGAAAACGAGCUGGAAGCACGGAAGGCUCCGUGCUUCCGAUAGUAUAGUAACCUCACUCUAUCUAUAUAUAUAUAUAUAUAUAUAUAUAUAUUCAUGUACGAAACAAAGUUCACUAUAUUACAGAGUUCUAUGCUUGCUCACAUUCUAAUAGUUUACUUUUUGUGUCGUACUAAAACAUUCAUAAUUUAUAUUAAACUAAAACAGAUAAAAGAUUGAAACUGCUUACAAAUUUUGUUUCAAAAUAAUAUCUUGCAAACUGUUAAUUAAACUUUAACAAAGCAAAAGUAUAUAGUACAGUUAUAACAGGUGAAUAUCUCCUGUGAUAUUAAUUGCACGACAGAGUUUUACCUGUCAUAAUAAUUCAAUAAGCCAAUUAAUAUAAAUAUAGAGAGAAAGAGAGUUUGGCUAAAAUACUAUUAAUAAUAUUUUAAUUUUUUUGCUAUUUAAUUUUUAACCCUUUCAUGAAAAAUUGUAGGGUUUGAAUGAUGGCGAUUUUUUAAGAUUGAGUGGUGGUCUUUUAGAGUUUAAUAAUUAUUAGUGAAAUAAUAUUAAUUUAAUAGUAAAAAUAAUCAAAAUAAUAGAUUUAAUAGUUAAAAACUAAAUAGCAAACUGACACAAAUACUAUAUGUAUACGGUGUAGAGCUACUAUGUUAUUGGAAGCAUAAAUGAUCUGAUGCUUCCAACUUUUUAACCAUUGGAUCAAAAAAUUAUACGAUUAGAAUGAUUGCGAUCCCUCCAGGUUUGAGUAGUACCCCUAAGGUUGAGUGGUCCCUACAGGUUAAUAGUAUUAAUUCAAAGAUUAGAAAUGAUUAAAGGGAUUGAUCUAAGGGCCAAAAAAUCGGAAGCACCAAAUCCUCUAUACUUCCGAUAACAUAGUAGCUCUACUCUAUAUAUACUAUCGGAAUAUUGUGCUUUCAACUUUUUGGCCCUUAGAUUAAUUUUUUUGAUUAUUUUUAAUUUUUGGAUUAAUACUAUUAUCAUGUGGGGACCACUCAACUCUAACCUCUAGGGUCCUACUCAAUCAUAUAAGACCGUAAUCAUCCCAACCGUACAAUUCUUAAUCUAAGGAUCAAAAAAUUAGAAACGUCAACUCCUCUAUACUUCCGAUAAUAUAUUAACUCUAUAUGUACCUGAAAGAAGCCCCACUCCUCGCAGGCGGCGGCGAGCUUCUUCAGCUCAUCGGCGCCGUGCCAUUUGGAUCCCAGCUUCGACAUGUCGAUGACGGGGACGUCUCCGGGCCCCGCCACCGCUGCUGCAGCAGCAGGGCGCUCCUCGGGGGCGCGGAUGUACCUCUUGGGCACGAACGCGGGACUUAUCCUGUCUAAAGGGAACGUUACAAAUGUGUUGUUGCAAAAGUUAGAAAAAUUUGAAAAUAAAGGAUAAAUUUUUAUCAAGUAUACUCCAAAAAAAAAGAACAUUUUCUUUUGCAAAAGCUUAUUGCAACUUUUCAAAAUUUAUUGCAAUCUUUUCCUUUUGAACAAAUUCUCUAACAUAUUGGGUGGACAAAUUUUGGUAAUUAGAUGACUCUUAGCCAAAUUAAUUAUAUGGAUGUAUUUAUAUAAUUGGAUAAAGGCGUAUGUUAGAGAAUCAAUUUAACUAAGCAAAAGAUAGGUAUAAUUUAACUACAGAUAUAUUUCCGGGCACUUAUUUACCUACAGAUAUAUUUUAUUUUACCCCUCCCAAUUUUUAGAAACCUACAAUUAGCCUUUUUCAUUUUUUAUAUGAUUGGAUAUUUUGUCCCUCUUUUGUUGCUAUUCGUUGUAACGCUCUGUGUUACUGUCAUUUUGAAGGAGAAAAUAAUAACGGCAUAUAAAAAUAUGGAUGUCGAGAGGGCUAAUUAUAAAUUCUUGGAUGGAAGUGUAAUUACCAAACUAACAGAGGCUUUUUUGCAUUUUCCUGCACAGUUCUAACUCGUUGUUUCUUUUUCUUACCAUUUCUAAUUUAAAUUCAUCCCUAAUUCCACGCUCUUUCUUGGUAAUAAAAUAAAAUAAAAAAUAAACCGUAACCUCCCCAAAUUACAAUCGUUCGUCUACAAACCCCGCAGGAGGUGAGGAGAAGAAGACAAGUAAAUGGAGCGGUUAGCGAUUAGGAGCGGAUCGGAGGAAAAGGCGGACCCAAGAUCCGACGGGCUAUGGAUAACGCGGAUAAGGGUGAUCCAUUAACCGCUUGCCUGUUACAGCAGUUGGUGAACUGGGCCGGCCCAAACUCAGGCGAUUGAAUGGAAUUAGCGAUCCAUGAUACAAAGAGUGAUCUCUUUACAAUUCAACCCUCCAAUUUUGUAACAUUUAUAAUUGAAUUCUCGUACUGACACUAUAAAUAGGAAUGGCAUGAAAAGAAUUUGAAUAAACUCCCUUCCUCCUCAAUGCUCUUCUUCCUCUGUGUCUCUCUCUCUUUCUCUCUACUCUUCUACUCUCUUCUCUGUUCUAUCUCUUUUCCUCUCACUCCUCUAAUCCAGAUCUAGAUCUCAUCCCCGACCACUGGUGCUCGAUCUCCAUGGAUGCUUGAUUCAGAUUGAGAUCUGAAUCCAACCCUCUGAGGAGCUCUUUUCCUCGCCUCCUCCCCCGAUUAUUUCCUAAUUCAGGUGCGUAUCCCCAAUUCCUAACUCCUUUUUCGCGCUUGAUCUGAUUACUUGCCUUGGUUGCUCAAAUUCGACGUUCAGAUUGGUUGUUUUAGGGCUCAAUUUGGGCAUUUUUUUUUUCUCUUUUUUGUUGGAUCGAGUAGUCGGGAUUACGGUUCGAGCUCUUUGGUGUUUGUAGGGUAGAAAUUAGGGUUUAUUUCGAUCUUCGGGACGUUGGAGAUCGGGAGCAUGUCGAUGGACGACGAGAGGAAGACGAUCCGUUUGGAGCAGGGAUGGGAGCUCAUUCAGAAGGGGAUCACCAAGCUGAAGAACAGCCUGGAGGGUCUCUCCGAGGAGAAGUUUCGCGCCAAAGACUACAUGAUGCUCUACACGUAUGCUCACUAUCUCCUCCUCCUUGUCUAUUAGGGUUUGCUAAAAUUGUACCUUGAGCUCAUGUUUCUUUGAUUUGUUUUAACUAUGGAUCAGGACUAUCUACGAUAUGUGCACUCAGAAGCCCCCUCAUCGUUACUCGCAACAGCUAUACAACAAGUAUCGGGAGUCGGUUGAGGAGUACAUCACUUCGACAGUGAGGAUGCCUUGCAAACUUUUUUUGUCUACUUUUUUCAACUAUUUUGUUGCACGAAGUGUAGUUGCUCUCUCUUCUUCUUCUUCUUCUUUUUUGUCUGCAUUGUUAUUAAUGUUAUUGUUAGCUAAAUGAGAAGUUAACCUUCUAUAUAUUCACCCUUAUUGGGGUUUAUACUAUUUAUUUGCAAUAGUUCAAACAUUGUCGACAGCCAUUAAUGAGAAUCAGUGAGUAUUGGAAGUUUAGUGGUUCUGUUAUUACUGGUGCUAGUGUGGUCAGCUGAUUCAUGAAGAAUUAGAAGGUUAUCUUUUUCAUUUUUAAGUGUCCUUCUUCUUUUGAAGAUUUUCAUUAGGAAAUUUAGGCUGAUAGCUGUCAUUUAUUGUUUUUGAAGACCUGUAUGAAUUGAGAUACGUAUUGCUUUUCACAUACAUUAUACGUGUAGCCCUGUUCUAUUUUGCUUCUUCUUUCAGUAGUUGACUCUCUCUCUCUCUCUCCUUUUAGAUGUAUCGAUGAUUGUAUUGUAAGCAGCUUGGUUAUUUUCAUUCAGGUGUUGUCAUCUUUGAGGGAGAAAGACGGUGAGUUUAUGCUGAGGGAACUAGUCAAUAGAUGGUCAAAUCACAAAGAAAUGGUCAGAUUGCUCUCACUUUGUUUCCGCCACCUUGAUGACAACUUUGUUACUCAAAAGUCACUCCCUCCGAUUAGUGAAGUUGGGCUUACUUGCUUCCGCAAUCUGGUACGUGAGCUCCUAACUGUAAAAUAUCAUAUAUUUGUUUUGAAAGUUCAUAUCUCCUCGAAGAUUUAGAAGUGGAUUUUGUGUAUGCACAUAAUUGGAGGUUGUUGUCAUUCUUGAGUUCUCGAAUAUUCUGGUUUUUCCUGAAUCGUUGCUGAUUUGUUUUCUGAUAUUCAGGUUUAUCAGGAGAUUUAUUUUAAAGCAAGAGAUGCUGUGAUCUCAUUGGUAAGUCAAAAGUAAAAGAUUUAUGAUGUGCUAUACUUCAGCUUCAUGGAUAUUUUUCUAAUUCAGCAUAAACUAUGCCAAUCAGAUUAAUCAAGAACGUGAGGGCGAGCAGAUUGAUAGAGCUUUGCUCAAGAAUGUAUUAGAUAUUUUUGUUGAAAUUGGGUUGGGUAAGAUGGACUAUUAUGACUUCGAAGCAUACAUGCUUAAACGCACUGCAGCUUAUUAUUCUCGGAAAGCAAAAAGCUGGAUUUCAGAGGACUCCUGUACAGGUUAUAUGCUGAAGGUACUCCUCUUCUAAAAUUUGUUUGGAUGAAAUGCAUUAUUAAGCUAUCCUUAGUUUGGUAAUAAUGACCUUUUUUACUUGUUUCAGGCUGAGGAGUGUUUGAAACAGGAGAAAGACAGAGUUUCGCAUUACUUGCAUUCAAGUAGUGAACCAAAGCUUUUGGAGGUUUGUUCUUGUUUAAUAGUCCUUUGCAACCCUCUCUCUGUAAGUCAUGUUUACUAGAACUUGACUGAACAAUCACCUGAGUACUGGCCUGCUUGUUAGGUCAAUGGUCAAAUCUAUUAGUUAAGCGAUUAACUAGUUGAUUUAAUGAAAGAUAAGAUCAUAACAUUGGUACUGAGCAGAUUCGGUAUAAAGAUGAGCAUUCUCCACUUGUUUCCAUUCUUGGCAGUUGGCACUCGGNGAGAGAGAGAGAGAGAGAGAGAGAGAGAGAGAGAGAGAGAGAGCUACUAUACUCUUAUGAGUACGAUGGACCUGCUCAUAAGUCAUUUUCGAUGAUGAAGUUUCCGAAUCGAUGAUCCAUACUAUUAAACAUGAUUUAGAGUAUUUGAAACUUUUAGAAAUUAAAUUUCAUAAUUUUUCAACAUCAUUUACCUUACGAUCAAAAGAUAUAAAAAUUGACAAUUUUUAACGGCCGGUAUAGUUGAAUUUUUGAUAGAAAAUUUUAUUCACUAUCUAGAUAGAGAUCUAUAAUUUUGAUCAUAAAUUGAAAAAUCCGAUCAUCUAUUUUUAGAAGGUAAUUCAAUUUUGAUUAUUUAUUUUAUGUCCAUUUGAUAGACUAUUAUAAUUUUAAAAAACUAUGAAAUUAGUUUUCUAGAAGUUUCAAAUGUUCUAAAUUAUAUUUAACGGCAUGGAUCGUCAAUUCGGAAGCUCUAUCAUCGAAAACAACUUAUGAGUAUAAAGAGCUCUAUACUCAUAAGAGUAUAGUAGCCCUACUCUCUCCCUCUCUCUCUCUCUCUAUAUAUAUUUCCUUACACUCAUUUUGAUUAAUUAACAGGAAGAAACUUCUUGAGAUAGAGCAUUCCGGAUGUCAUGCGUUGCUCCAGGAUGACAAGGUUCGUAGAUAUUUCUUCCAAAAUGAGUGUAGAUUCUGUUUCAUUAGCCCAAUUGUCUAAAAACUUAAAAUUGUCUUGUACUUGUUAGGUGGAUGAUUUGUCGAGGAUGUACAGACUCUUUUCUAAAAUAAAUCGUGGUCUGGACCCAAUUGCUCAGAUAGUUAAGCAGGUUGCUCAGAUUUUUAAGCAGGUUAGUAUAAGUGCAAAUUUGUUAAAAUAGUCUAAUGUUUUUCUUUACAGUUUACUGAGAUUUAUCAAAAACUUUUGUCCUGCAGCAUGUUACCGCGGAAGGUACAGCUUUGGUCAAACAAGCAGAAGAUGCCGCAAAUAAUAAGAAGGUCAGUAGUCUACAAAUACUUUUUCAACCGAACAGCUUAUUUUCUUUAAAAUAUUUUAUUUUCAUUCUUCGAAGAAUUUCUUGCAAAUCUUUUGUUAUGAAAACUGCCAUUGCAAUCUAGUGUUUGUAUGAAGUCUUGUUCAGUUGCUUACGUAUUCUUGCUAACUCUAUUUUGUAUAGUGCCCUAAAACUUUGAUGAAUUGCAAUUCUCUAUGUUCUUCCAUUUAGCUAGAGUUGUUUCAAAAUUAGCUCAUAUGCUGGCCUAAUCACGGGACUUGCCUGGCUAGUCUGUGCUCUUAACGCUCAAUAGCAUGUUGAUAAUUCAUCAAGCAAGUUGUUUAUCAAACUCAAGCUACUGAUUUCAAGUUGCUUCUGGCAUGUAUUCUUGAUUACUGUUUGUAUAUUUGUUUCCUAGCAUUUAUUACUUUUACCAACUUGCAGUGUAUAUACAUUUUUAUAUUUCUGUUCUUUCUCGUGAUAUGGGCUAACAUAUGUUUCCUACAGGCUGAGAAAAAAGAUUUAGUUGGUUUACAAGAACAGGUUAGAUUUCUUAUUUGCAGCUCAUACAAGUACUAUGGUUACUUUAAAAUGCAAGUUUAUUGACGGAACUAUCUGGUUGUAGGUUUUUGUUAGAAAAAUCAUUGAGCUUCAUGACAAGUAUUUGGCAUAUGUAAAUAACUGCUUCCAGAACCACUCGCUCUUUCAUAAGGUGCGUAUAGAAAUUUUUCCUCUUAUAUAAGGGUAUGUUUUCGUCUUUCUUCCCUAAAUAUGCUUGUUCUCAUCAGGCAGUAAAGGAGGCUUUUGAGGUCUUCUGCAACAAGGGAGUUGCAGGUAGUGCAAGUGCUGAACUUCUAGCUACCUUCUGUGACAAUAUACUUAAAAAAGGUGGAAGCGAGAAAUUGAGUGAUGAAGCUAUCGAGGAGACCCUUGAGAAAGUAAUUGACUUUUCAACUGCCUUUUGAUUUUUCUAAUAAUUUGACCUUGAAAUAUAUCAUGUGAACAAUCUCUCGCAGGUUGUGAAGCUGCUUUCAUAUAUUAGCGAUAAGGAUCUUUUUGCUGAGUUUUACAGGUAGAAGUCUUAUGCCGUCACCCUUUGAAUUAGUAAUUUGUUUUUACUUUAAUCUGGCUUAUAUAUAUAUAUAUAUAUAUAUAUAGAGAGAGAGAGAGAGAGAGAGAGAGAGAGAGAGAGUUCGGCUACUAUUCCUUUUUGAGUACGAUGGACCUGCCCAUAAGUCAUUUUCGAUGAUGGAGUUUCAAAUCGAUGAUCCAUACUAUUAAACAUGAUUUAGAGUAUUUGAAACUUUUAGAAAUUAAAUUUCAUAAUUUUUCGACAUCAUUUACCUUACGAUCAAAAGAUAUAAAAAUUGACAAUUUUUAAUGGCUGGUAUGGGAUGCUCGCAAUUUUAACGGUGUAAAAGAAUCAAAAUCAGUCGAAUUUUUGAUAGAAAAUUUUAUUCACUAUUUAUAUAGAGAUCUAUAAUUUCGAUCAUAAAUUGAAAAAUCCGAUCAUCUAUUUUUAGGAGGUAAUUCCAUUUUGACCGUUUAUUUUAUGUCCAUUUGAUAGACUUUAUUAUAAUUUUUAAAAACUAUGAAAUUAGUUUUCUAGAAGUUUCAAAUGUUCUAGAUUAUAUUUAACGGAAUGGAUCGUCAAUUCGGAAGCUCUAUCAUCGAAAACAAUUUAUGAGUACAAAGAGUAGCCGUACUCUCUCUCUCUUUCUAUAUAUGUAUAUUUCCUUACACUCAUUUUGAUUAAUUCACAGGAAGAAACUUGCCCGAAGGUUGCUAUUUGAUAAAAGUCCUAAUGAUGACCAUGAGCGUAGUAUUUUGACAAAGCUAAAGCAGCAGUGCGGAGGGCAAUUUACCUCAAAAAUGGAGGGCAUGGUAUGCUUACAAAUUUUAUUAUUUUCUUUCUAUUAGAAGGUUUUUUACAGUUUCCUUCCUUCUCAGGUAACUGAUUUAACUCUUGCAAGAGAAAACCAAUCAAG